GUAAACUACGCGCGUUUUGGUGCCCGCCCGCAUGCUCAUGCGCGCAGUUAAACGGGAAACACGAGGCUUGUCAAACGGCUAACGUGUGCUGCCCCCGCAACGGUAAACAAGCGUCACCCGACGGUGACAGGCGAUCUCUCGACACCACUGUGCAAUUUGCAUGGGAAGGUGGAUUGCUCAAGCUUGUUAGCCCGGAUACCGGCCAGGACAAGGAGGAAGUG
rnacentral:ncRNA from 2 species